AGAGUUUGAUCCUGGCUCAGAGCGAACGCUGGCGGCAUGCUUAACACAUGCAAGUCGCACGGGCAGGGGCAACUCUGUCAGUGGCGGACGGGUGAGUAACGCGUAGGUAUCUAUCCUUGGGUGGGGGACAACCGUGGGAAACUACGGCUAAUACCGCAUGAUGACCGAGGUCUAAAGGCGUCCAGGGUAACUUGGUGGGUCGCCUGGGGAGGAGCCUGCGUACGAUUAGCUAGUUGGUGGGGUAAAGGCCUACCAAGGCGACGAUCGUUAGCUGGUCUGAGAGGAUGAUCAGCCACAUUGGGACUGAGACACGGCCCAAACUCCUACGGGAGGCAGCAGUGGGGAAUAUUGGACAAUGGGCGCAAGCCUGAUCCAGCAAUGCCGCGUGUGUGAAGAAGGUCUUCGGAUUGUAAAGCACUUUCGACGGGGACGAUGAUGACGGUACCCGUAGAAGAAGCCCCGGCUAACUUCGUGCCAGCAGCCGCGGUAAUACGAAGGGGGCUAGCGUUGCUCGGAAUGACUGGGCGUAAAGGGCGCGUAGGCGGAUGACACAGUCAGAUGUGAAAUUCCCGGGCUUAACCUGGGGGCUGCAUUUGAUACGUGUUGUCUAGAGUGAGGAAGAGGGUCGUGGAAUUCCCAGUGUAGAGGUGAAAUUCGUAGAUAUUGGGAAGAACACCGGUGGCGAAGGCGGCGACCUGGUCCUUGACUGACGCUGAGGCGCGAAAGCGUGGGGAGCAAACAGGAUUAGAUACCCCGGUAGUCC
rnacentral:rRNA from 1 species